rnacentral:rRNA from 1 species
CAGUAGCCACGGUAAUACGGAGGGGGCUAGCGUUGUUCGGAAUUACUGGGCGUAAAGCGCGCGUAGGCGGCUUGGUAAGUUAGAGGUGAAAGCCUGGGACUCAACCCCAGAAUUGCCUUUAAGACUGCCGAGCUAGUAGGUGAGAGAGGUAAGUGGAAUUCCGAGUGUAGAGGUGAAAUUCGUAGAUAUUCGGAAGAACACCAGUGGCGAAGGCGGCUUACUGGCUCAUUCUAGACGCUGAGGUGCGAAAGCGUGGGGAGCAAACAGGAUUAGAUACCCCGGUAGUCCCUGUCUCUUAUAU